AUGACAUCUCCUUCCCUUCCGUUCAUCUCCCUUGCAUAACUUUUCCUUUUAGGGCCCUUGAGAAAAUCUUAAAGCUCCCUUUUGCAGAUAUAUACAUACACAUUACCAAGAAAAAGGAAAACGUAUAUACGAAUACAUAUACGUACACAUUCAUAUAUGAACACGUGCAAGGAAUCAUUCACUUUUUUGGGGUCUCUUCGAAUAUGGUGGUAGCUUUAUCAGAUUGCUGUCGUAAAGAGAGAACGAGAAUAUAUAAAGAAAAUCUGAUCUGAUGACAGAUGUGUAAUGGGUUCUCUUCUCUUAGAAUUCUUAAAUUGGUUCAGCUAUUCAACGGUAUUCACUUUCCCUUUCAUUGAAGGCUGUGAAAAAAGCACUUAUUCCCGAUUUCCUUUUUCCAGUGAGAAAAA
rnacentral:lncRNA from 1 species